AUAGGUAUGUAGCUUAGUGCUGGAGCACUUGCCUGAUAUGCAGGAAGCCCUGGGUUCAAUUCCUAGUAAUAAGA
rnacentral:tRNA from 1 species